rnacentral:rRNA from 1 species
UACAUAGGUCCCAAGCGUUAUCCGGAAUUACUGGGCGUAAAGCGUCUGCAGGUUGAAAAGUGUGUGAGACGUGAAAGACCGGGGCUCAACCCCGUGUUUGUGUCUCAAACUGCUUUUCUGGAGUGAGCAAGAGGUAUGCGGAAUUUAUGGAGUAGGAGUGCAAUCCGUUGACACCAUAAAGAACACCAAAAGCGAAGGCAGCAUACUGGGGCUCUACUGACACUCAGAGACGAAAGCGUGGGGAGCGAAAGGG